AUACGGAGGGUGCAAGCGUUACUCGGAAUCACUGGGCGUAAAGCGCGCGCAGGCGGGCUGAUAAGUUGGAUGUGAAAGCCUACGGCUCAACCGUAGAACUGCAUCCAAAACUGUCAGUCUAGAGUCUGGGAGGGGAAGAUGGAAUUAGUUGUGUAGGGGUAAAAUCCGUAGAGAUAACUAGGAAUACCAAAAGCGAAGGCGAUCUUAUGGAACAGUACUGACGCUGAGGCGCGAAAGCGUGGGGAGCAAACAGGAGUAGAAACCCUAGUAGUCC
rnacentral:rRNA from 1 species